UCACACAUUGUCUGUACUGUUUUAGCAGUGAAAAAGAAUACCCACAGACAAGGCACGGGUGGUGGGUCACCAAAGGCUGACCUUACCCCAGCAGAGGACAUGGCCUUGGAGCUAAAUAAAGGCAGGCCCGUCUUAGAGGGGAUCCCUGGGGGGAAAGAGACGAGCAUAGGUUCCUCCCAAGAUGCCACCCGCUUCAUUCAAGUGCCUGGCAGCACUGUGUUCCUGUUAGAGCCACCAGCACAAGCACCAGAUGAUGCUGAUCCAGGUGAAGGCCCCAGUGCAGCAGCAACAGCACAUGAUGGAGACGAUGAUGAGGAGGAGACCAUCUCUCUG